rnacentral:lncRNA from 1 species
GGAAAGGUGAUAUAAAUUUUGUUUUAAGUUAUUCUUCAGUUAUAUUUAACUUCAGCUUUCAGUAUCGAACCAUGAGAUAACUGUUGAUUGAAAACAACUAAAAGUAACAUAUAAGCAUUUAUUAUCACAUUUGAGUGAACUUACUUAAGACAUUCAAUUGCUGCAGGCAUUAAAGCAGUUACCUCGAGAAAAGGUUGAGUUGGCUACAAAAUUUGGUGUAUUUAAAAUUGGGGGUCCUGAAGUCAUAGUAAAAGGUUCACCUGAAUAUGUCCGUUCUUGUUGUGAGGCUAGCUUGAAGCGUCUUGACGUGGAUUAUAUUGAUCUCUACUACAUACAUCGGAUUGAUCAGACUGUGCCUAUUGAAGAGACGGUUAGUUUUUCUUAUAUACUUUUAUUUGUGAUAUUGUUCUUAUAUAGCCAUUUUGAUUAGUGUCCAUUGACCUCAUUUUCUCUUUUUUGUAUUCGUCUUUCUUAACACGCUUUCUAUAUCACUUAAUAUUACGUCUUGAUGAUAAACUUGUUUAUGAGUUGCAGAUGGGAGAACUAAAAAAGCUAGUUGAAGAAGGUAAAAUAAAAUAUAUUGGGUUAUCUGAAGCUAGCCCAAACACAAUAAGGAGGGCACAUGCAGUUCAUCCUAUUACUGCUAUACAAAUGGAAUAUUCCCUUUGGACUCGUAACAUCGAAGAAGAAUUUAUUCCACUUUGCAGGUUCUAAUUAUUUCUCAAAUAUUUCUAUUAUAAUGCUGAUUGUUCAAAAUAUUACAUUUUAGGCAAAAAAUUUUGGCAAAUCAAAUUUUAAGACGGUGAAAGCAGAUGUUCGAAUCUCAUAUUUAUUUUUUCACGACAUAAAGUACUUGAUGUCAUUCCUUCUUCGACUAACAUUGCAAUGUUCAGUUCCUAUUCUCCAAUAUAAUAGUUCGCGUUUGUGUACUUCUCUUGUUGAUGUGUUAAACUUGUAUUUUUGAUGGGUUAAAUACAGUCUUACUUAGGGUUUUGAUAAUUAUUGCUUUUGAUGAGGAUGCUAAAAGUUCUUUUCUUUCUUUCGAGUGCCCUAAUUCAUCUUUUUUCCAUUACUAUUCAUCAAGUAUGUGUAGUUUUUAUCUUAUCGUUCUCCUCCCUGUUCAAUAAUAAUGUUCUCAUAUAGGAUUUCCUUUUCUUUUUGGAAUGGUUUAUUAGGGAACUUGGUAUCGGAAUAGUUCCAUACAGCCCAGUGGGCCGAGGGUUUUUUGCUGGGAAGGCCAUAGUGGAGAGCUUGCCCCCAAGUAGCAGACUGGUUCGUAUGCUUCCUGUCUUUUAAUUUUAGACAUGUAAACUCUACCUUGGAAUCCAAGAUGAUUUAGUAGUUUCUUCAUUUUAGUUAUCUGUACUUGCUGAAUCGUCGCCUGAUUUUCGUACCAUCAGGCACAUCACCCAAGGUUUACAGAAGAGAACUUAGAUAAAAACAAAGUCAUUUAUUUUCGUAUUGAAGCAUUAGCUAAGAAGCAUGGAUGUACUCCUGCCCAACUUGCGCUUGCAUGGGUUCUUCAUCAAGGAGAUGAUGUUGUACCUAUUCCGGGUAAGCCUGUUCAUAUUUAAUUUGCAUUAAAUAUGGUAGGGUUUGAUGAGAGUUUGGCGUACUUAUUUUGUUAUACUUGAAAUAUUGUGAUUACUUGUCAAUGUUGUCAGAGAUUUUAUGCAAAACCGCAUAGUAAUGGAUAGUAACUAAAACAUUUAUUAUCAUAUUCACUCCAUGGAUUGUUUUUAUUUUAACAGUAACAUGCCAUUCAACUUGCAACAUUGUAGGUACGACUAAGAUAAAAAAUCUCCACGAUAAUAUUGGUUCCGUGAAAGUGAAGCUUACAAAAGAUGAUUUAAAAGAGAUCUCUGAUGCAGUCCCCAUCGAUGAAGUGGCAGGGUCAAAAUCUGACAGCGCUAUUGGUCGGGUCAAUGCGCAAUUUGCCGAUACCCCACCCCCAAAAUGAACAUUGCAAGAUUGUUGAUAAAUCUUUGUAUGUUAUGUUUUCAAAUGUGGGCGUCUGAUAUUUGUAACAAUUUUGUCGUAGACAUAUUGCUACUACUCUUGGUUCAAUAAUGCAAGUAAUGUUUCUCUUCAGUCACUAGGGUUGUAUCAUGAACUAUGAAUUAUCGAUAAAUUAUUAGUAAUUUUUUUUUUAAAGAAUAGUUGGUAGAUAAUUCAGUCAGGCGUGGAUUGCAUAUUUUGGCAUGAUAUAUUACACUUUUGUGUCUAUUUAUAUAUUUGUAAUUAAGGCCAUAUGAUCAAUAAAAAAUCUUUAAACAAG